rnacentral:sRNA from 12 species
UAUAGUUGCAGGUAGAGAUACGCUGUAUACCUAUGUGCCUGAAUUAGCGUUUAAGCGGUAUGUAAUGCCGUCAGACAUAGGGACCACCUAAGGGUGGUUUUUUGCUAUA